GAUGAACGCUGGCGGCGUGCCUAAUACAUGCAAGUCGAGCGAACGGACGAGAAGCUUGCUUCUCUGAUGUUAGCGGCGGACGGGUGAGUAACACGUGGAUAACCUACCUAUAAGACUGGGAUAACUUCGGGAAACCGUAGCUAAUACCGGAUAAUAUUUUGAACCGCAUGGUUCAAAAGUGAAAGACGGUCUUGCUGUCACUUAUAGAUGGAUCCGCGCUGCAUUAGCUAGUUGGUAAGGUAACGGCUUACCAAGGCAACGAUGCAUAGCCGACCUGAGAGGGUGAUCGGCCACACUGGAACUGAGACGCGGUCCAAACUCCUACGGGAGGCAGCAGUAGGGAAUCUUCCGCAAUGAGCGAAAGCCUGACGGAGCAACGCCGCGUGAGUGAUGAAGGUCUUCGGAUCGUAAAUCUCUGUUAUUAGGGAAGAACAUAUGUGUAAGUACCUGUGCACAUCUUGACGGUACCUAAUCAGAAAGCCACGGCUAACUACGU
rnacentral:rRNA from 1 species